UAAUUUCUUUAAAAUUUGAUUAGAGACCUAAGACCUUUAAAAUUUUAAAAUUUGAUUAAUAUCGCUAGUGAUGCUAUUCAUGUUACCCAUUUCUAUGUUUAAUAGAUUGCUAAGAGAGAUUCUCGUCAAUUUUCUCUUACAACUUCCUCUUACGUUCUCUGCAUUUGGCUAUUUGUUAUCCUAGAUGUGUUAAGUGUUAGCCUUUCCUAUUCUGAGUGAUACUUAACUAUAAUUUCUCCAUGCCAUCCUACUAAACUGCUUCUGAAACUCUUUUUUUUUUUCCCAGUGUCGAGGCACCGGACACUCAUGAAUGUUUUUGACAAAUCCCCUAGUGUGGAUAAAGGGGCUUUUGUGGCUCCUAACGCUUCUAUCACUGGUGAUGUCCAUGUCGGACGAGGUUCUUCCAUUUGGUAUGGAUGUGUCUUGAGAGGUAUAAGCUUCUGUAGCAUCUGAAAAUGUUGACUCAUUUGUGCUUUCAUUGAAAGGAGAAGCACCCUUUUAUGUCAGACAUGUGCAUAGAAUUAAAAACUUACUCUGCAGGAGAUGCUAACAGCAUUAGUGUUGGAGCUGGCACCAAUAUCCAGGACAACGCUCUUGUCCACGUUGCUAAGUCCAACUUAAGCGGGAAGGUCUUACCUACCGUCAUUGGAAACAAUGUCACUGUUGGUAAAUUCUCUAUACAAUCUCUGUCACAAAACUCAAGUGUGAAUUUUAUUGCCUACUUUCAUUGCGCAUGUGCAAAAAGUUUUUGUGCAUAUGCCAAAGUUUCCAUUUUCUAGCCAAAGUUACCAUUUUCUAGCCAAAAUUUCCAAAAAUAAUUUUUGACUUUGCCAGGGUAAUUUAAAGCAUGUAAUAAAUUCAUUGCGAAUUAAAUAAUUGCUAAGAAUCCUUACAAAAAAUAUUCGUGGAUAUGAAUUAUUGAAAAGAAUAUGAAGAAGACAUUUUUUCUUACAAAAAAUUGUGCAUAUACCACAUGUUCCAUUUUCUAGCCAAACUACCAUUUUCUAGCCAAAGUUUCCAAAAAUAGUUUUUAACUUUAUUAGGAUAAUUUAAUGCAUAUAAUAAAUGUAUAGAGCAUUCAACGUUUGCUAAGAUUCCUUACAAUAAUUCUAGUAGAUUUGAAUGAUUGAAAAGAAAAAAAGAAGAAGAAAAAGUUGAAGUUACAUUCCUCGUAACCGGAAGAGCCGAGUGGACAUGGUCAAAUUUUUUUUCCAGUGUUUGUUAGUUUUUGCACUUUUCCCAUGCUCACUAUUCCGCUUAGAGCAUAACACCAAGAUGACGACGAAGACGAUGGAGAGAGGAUUUAAGGUUUUUCUCUAUAUUUCUUUUUGUUUUUGUUUUUGUAUAAGAAGAGAAUUGAAACGUUUAAUCACUAACUGGAAUGCAAACAUAUUCUCUCAAACGUGAAGCUGAUUUUGGGUUCUCAGUCCAUGGCGAGAAAGAGGAUUCUAGCUGAGAUGGGAUAUGAGUACACCAUUGUGGUAUGUUUUUCUUUAUAUAUGUUUAUGGAGGUUUUGAUUAAUUUGUUUGCUGGGGAUUGUACGUAAAUUAAGGUUGGCUUGGGAUUUUCAUGGUUCAAGACUGCAGACAUUGAUGAAAAAGCUAUUAGGACAGACAAGCCUGAAGAUUUAGUUGUGGCUCUUGCUGAAGCCAAGGUAAUAUUCUAAGCUAUCUAGGGUUUUGUAACUAGUUCAUAUCUUCUAAACUAAUGUAUUCUAGUUACCCUUUUUUUUUGGGUAAAAUAUUAUACUUACCAUUUUCGUGAUGGUAAAUUCUAUUUGACUAGGCAAAUGAGAUUAUAUCGAAAUUGGGAGGUGAAAGCCACUUUGCACAAGAUCCUCAACCAACUAUACUAAUUACUGCAGACACGGUAAGCUAUAAUGCCUCAACAUUUUUGGAUUAGUAUUUGUCGUGUGAUUUUUUUUUUUAAAUUAUCUAUCUUGCUGAUGAUGUUAUGGUGAUGGAGUUUCUUAGGUUGUUGUGUACAAAAGUGUCAUUAGAGAGAAACCAAUCAAUAAAGAAGAGGCUCGUGAAUUUAUCAAAGGUUUUGUGCAAGUUGAUUGAUUUUAGGUUUUGUGCAAGUUGAUAGAUUUUAGGUGUUCUAUGAUACGAGAGCCACUUAUGAUUAAGAGUUGUGUUUGAAAUCUACACAGGCUAUUCUGGGUCACAUGAAGGUGUUGUGGGAUCUGUUUUUGUAUGGAAUUUGAAAACUGGAGUUAAAAUAGGAGGAUGGGACAAAGCAGAGGUACUUAACACACAAGUUUUUUUUUUUUUUGUAGAUUCCAGUUUCUCCUUCUCUUUGCUCAACUUUUUGUUGUUGUUUCUUUUGUCUAACUUAGAUUCCAAUUUAUCAUUCUCUUUGCUAAACUUUUUGUUGUUGUUUCUUUUGUCCAACUUAGUUUCCAAUUUUUCUUUCUCUUUGCUCAACUUUAUGUUGUUGUUUCUUUUGCCCUACUUAGAUUCCAAUUUUUCCUUCUCUUUGCUCAACUUUUUGUUGUUUUUUCUUUUGUCAAAAAUUUUUGUGGUAAUGUGAAUGUUGUUGUGAUGCAGGUUUAUUUCCAUGAAAUACCAGAACAUGUCAUCGAAGAUCUUGUAAAACUCUUCAAAACACUAGUGCUUCUUACUAUUGAUCUAUUGAACGUAGUUUGUUUUAACAUAUGUUCUUUGAUAUUUAGAUUGAUGAUGCAAUAACUUACACGGUUGCUGGAGGUGCGACGCUGGAGCAUCCCCUUGUUUCACCCUUUGUCGAUUAUGUGGUUAGUGUCCUUGAAACAAUGAGUUCUCGUGUUUGAUAUGUAACUCUUUAGUUCUUUUCUGUUUCAGCAGCAUAAGAAGUUUUUUUUUGUAAUGUUGUAGGUGGGAGGAGUUGAUACUGUUAUGGGGCUUCCCAAAGAACUCACAAAAAAAUUCAUCAACGAUGUGUUGUUGUAGCUCAACCCCUUUUGAUUUAUGUAGGAAGAGCCCUUUUGAUUUAUGUAGAAAGGCUUAACUUAAUACUUUAGAAUCUCUAAUCCAUCAAUCAUUUAUGUUGUAAGAUUUACCGUAUCAUAAUUCUAAGCAUCGAUGAUAUUUUCGGAUUUCAAACUCUUAUAAACAAACCAAUUGGAAUGUCUGAAUUUUUGCAGUUUUAACAAGUUUUGAAUUUGAUUAUAAGCAGACCAACGUGGGUUUUCUAAUGUCUGAAACUCUGAAAUCUAAAUUCUGUAUUGACAUGGUUUAAUAGCAUUGAUACUAAAAGGCCCAAAUAUUGACCCGGUUGAAAUUCUCUGGCUGAUGAAGAAGUUUCACUGGGGACUUUUCAAAUCAGGCAUCUUCAGGGUUUUUGAAGAUACUCAUUGAGGUUUCUCUUCUUCGUGUUCCUCUCCCAAAACCUAAACGCUGUUUAAAAUACCUUUCUCACCGCCAUCGAUAAACCCUACUGGAACCCUAAUUUAUUGGGGGCUCUGAGGAAGCAACGAUUUGAUAAGUUUGGUUGCUUAAUCUAUGUCGAUUGUAAAAGAUUCGGGCUUUGAAGCCCUUGAGAAGCUUAAGUCAACUGAACCACCAGUUUUUCUUGCGCCAAGUUCAAUAUCUGAGGUGGCUCGUACUACAUCUCAGUACCUAUUCGAGAAGUUGAAGCCUUUCAACCCUAAAUCUCCAUUUGAUCAGCUCUUGGUUGAUGGGUUUGAUGCGGAGCAGAUUUGGCAGCAAAUUGAUAUUCAGUGUCAACCGUUGUUGUCUAGCUUGCGGCAGGACGUUAAGAGAUUUGCUCAAAACCCUAAAGAGAUUCGUAAACUUGGGAAUUUGGCCCUCAAUGUUUCUCAUGAAGAUGAUGUCGAUGAGAUGGAUAUGGAUGGUUUUGACUCGGAUGAUGAUGAGCUAGAAGCUACUGAAAGCGAUGGAGAUGAAGAAGAGGACGACGAUGAGGAAGAAGAAGAUGAUGUAGAGGAAGAUGAGGAGGAAAAGAGUGGAGACCAUGAAGGAAUAGAGGACAAGUUCUUCAAGAUAAAAGAAUUGGAGGAGUUUUUGGAGGAGGGUGAAGCAGAAGAGUAUGGAAUAGACUACAAAAACAAGAACGGGGUUGCAAAGAGAAAGAAACAAAAUUUGCGCGAUGAUGAUGAAGAAGAAGAUGAUGAGGAGGACGAGGAUGAAGAAGAAGAUGAUGAGGUAAGCACAUACCUCAGUGUUCAAGAAUAUUAAGUGGAAUGGUUGAUUACCAUUAGCUUAGUUUUUCUCUCGAUUGAUCUUUUAAUAUUCUCGUCCUCUAGUUUGGUGCUUUUGCUGGUGGGGAUGACGAAGAGGCAGAUAAAUUAGGCAAGGCAAGGUAUGGUCUCUAUGCUCUCUAAUUAGACAAUACACAUACCACUUUGUAUUCCAAUCAGUUGCACUUUUUUUCCUUGGGUUUGGAGCAGUAUCGCUGUCGAUUUGUUCUAAGAGUUUUUUUCCUUGUCAAUGAUAAUUAGGUAUGAUGAUUUCUUCGGCGGCAAAAAGAAGGAGACAAAAAUGAAGUUGAAAGACUUAAGUGAAGAUGAUGAAGCUGAAAUAGAAAACCAAGUACUGUGAUGCGUAACUUAUUCAUGGCAUUGUGAUAUGUACUAACUUCAUUUCUAAUUCAUGAACUAAAUUUUCUUCCUUUAGGGUGAUGUAAAGCUCUCUACCCAUGAAAAAGAACGAAUAAAGCUUCAAUCCAAGAUUGAACGGAUGGAGAAAGCAAACUUAGAUGCUAAACACUGGACAAUGCAGGGAGAGGUAGCCAGCCAUGUUUUUUCUGACGUUUACUGUAAAAUAAGAACCUAGCUUUCUGUAACAACAUUUUUGGAUGGUUUUUCUUAUUAAAAGAUAACUGCUGCAAAGAGGCCAAAGAACAGUGCUUUAGAAGUUGAUUUAGAUUUUGAGCACAAUGCCAGGCCUGCUCCUGUAAUCACAGAAGAGGUCACAGCCUCACUUGAAGAUUUGAUCAAGAGCAGAAUCAUUGAGGUAACACUUGUGACUUGUGGCAGUAAAAAUUUAACAAAGGCCUCCUUUCUUCUCUCCCCUUUUGCAUAACUGAUCUUGUGACUUCUUAGGCUCGUUUUGAUGAUGUUCAACGAGCAGCAAGUAUGCCCACUAAAGCAAAAAGAGAAGCCAAGGAAAUGGUGAGUUUUAUUGAAGAACUAUUAUCUCUGCCCUUUUUUUUUUGCUCUGGUUUAAUAGUUGAUGACUAAUAGUACUUUGUUACUUUUGUGAAUAUGCAGGACGAUAGCAAAAGCAAGAAAGGUCUUGCCGAAGUUUACGAGGUUUGUAUGACUUACAUUAUUUGAUUGCUAUUUCGUUUUUUUUGAGAGAUAACCAAACUUACAAAUGUUAUGUUUGUUUAUUUGUAGGACGAAUAUGUUCGGCAGGCUAAUCCCACUUUUGCCCCGACAACUUUCUCUGAUGAACUAAAGAAAGAGGUUCCAACUUGAUUUGAUUCUUAUGCUUCUUGGGUUUUUGUGAUUACCUAUCUGUCUUCUUCUUUCAAUGUCAGUCUCUAUAUCACAUACUCUUACUUAUAAAUGUUAAAUCAGGCAAGCAUGCUGUUCAAGAGACUAUGCCUGAAGUUGGAUUCUCUCUCCCACUUCCACUUCACACCUAAACCGGUAUGUAUAUCGCUUAGAUCCGAAAUGAUUAUCACCUCGUGUGUUUAAAUAUUGCUGCUCUGGACUUAACUAAUUUCUGUUUUUUUCCCCCAAAAUUUUUCAGGUGAUUGAAGAAAUGUCUAUACAAACAAAUGUCCCGGCCAUAGCAAUGGAAGAGGUAAUUCAGUUGUUUUCUCAAAUCCUUCCUUUAUUUGUUAGGGAAUUGGGAUCGGGGCACCAUCAUACUUAGCAACUUCUUCCAUGUGUACUGCGUAGGUUGCGCCUGUGGCAGUCUCAGAUGCGGCAAUGCUUGCCCCAGAGGAGAUAUUUUCCGGGAAAGGUGACAUUAAGGAUGAGUCUGAGCUUACACAGGAAGAGAAAAAGAGAAGGAGGGCUAAGAAGAAGAGAAAGUUUAAGGGUAAGGAUGUGAAUAAUAAAGAGGAUACUCAAUUUUGGUAAAAGCACAAAAUCUGACUGCUUCUUGUUGCAUAUUAGACCCAUAAACUCUUCGCUUUUCACUUUUGAAUCAGCUGAAUCUGCAAAAGAACCAGCGAAAAAAGCGCGGGAUGAUACUACCGAAAACCCUAAAACUGGUAUUUUUCUGUGCUCCUACAUGACUUUUAGAUUGUUGAGAAUAUUUGAAAUUAGGAAAUAAUUUAACGUUGGUUACGCUUACGAAGUUACAGGCAGUGAAGAAGGGUGAAGAAAGGAGAGAGUUACAGAGACAAAAUGAAGAUGAGGAGAUUUCAGGCAAGAGCAUUGCUACAUGAUACAGUAUGUGAAAAAUCUAAACACAGACAGCUUCAAGAUUAGAUACAACAAGAGUUUUGGAUGGGAGAAAAUAGAUAAACUUUUUACCGGUAUAAGGAAAGGCGAGAGAUAGUGUUCGAAUCAGUGACUUGUCUUGCCGACAUUUGAGUUUGAUUGUAUCUUAUGCGGUUUUGUCAUAUACUUUGAUAUGAGUAGCUUUUCUUUCUUUUAAUUGAUGAGAAAAAAAUCCGUAACUCCCAAUACCAAAGCAACUCUAAUUCAAGCUGCUGGAACUGAAAACAAAUGAAAAAAUAUAUAUCUAAUAGCUUCAAAUUCUAAGAUAACUAGAGUGCUGGAGUUGGAAAAGAAUAACAAUCGAUUUUGCAGAAUGAGUCACUGCGUAGUUGGAAAGAGGUUUCUUUGGAGAUCCUCCAUUGGCUGGCCAUAUAUGAAGUUUCUGGUGAUAAAUUAAUAAUACGUGUCAUAGAAAUCACUUAGCUGGAGUAGCUCAGUUGGUUAGAGCGUGUGGCUGUUAACCACAAGGUCAGAGGUUCGACCCCUCUCUCUAGCGUCUUUUUGCAGUUUGGGCCGUGCCUUUGUAGUUAUCGGGCCAGACACUUUCUUAAUUUUUUGUAUAAGUUAAGUUCUGGACUCGGAUGGGAUUGGGGGGGAUAUUCGUCAAUCCAAAAACGAGAUUCUGAAGCGGUCAACGUUGAACAUUUGGGUCAUUUGAAGAGCCGUUUCCUCCUCUGUGUGUGUGUGAUGUAUAAAAAAAUGUCUGUCGUCAUUAUAGUUUUGCUGGGUUUAUUCAAUCUCAUCGACCCAAUCAAUCAACAAUACAAGAUAGAGAGUGACUGAAGGAGAGACAAACAUGGCGUCUGUUUCCGUCUCUAACUCUUUUCUCACUUUCAGUUCUCCCAUUCAGCUCCGAAUCACUCGGUAAUUGACUCUGCAUUCUUCUUAUUUCGCAAUCUGAUCUUGAUUUCAAAAACAAAAAAAAUCUGAUCUUGAAUAUUUGCAGAAGGAGAGUCUCUGCCAUGGCUACUGGAGUGAGAGUCGCAGAAGGACAAGGCAAUUUGCCAAAACUUGUCCUCACUUCUCCCCAGAAGAGGUAUGCAAUAACUACUCGCCAUCUCUCGCUGCCUGCCUCAUAGUAGUAAGUAAUUCAUCAAUUUGUUGGAUGCAGUGAGGCUGAGAUAUAUCUCUUUGGAGGCUGCAUUACAUCUUGGAAAGUUGCGAGUGGUAAAGAUCUUCUUUUCGUCAGACCAGACGCUGUCUUCAAUAAGAUUAAGCCCAUUAGGUGUGUUUGUACAUUUUUACGUUGUUGCUCCCCUACCCUACUUAUUAACCUGAAACUCUCUAGUAGUCAUGUCCUCCCUUUUUCUUCUUUAUGCUUUUUACUGGAUUUAGCGGAGGGGUUCCACAUUGUUUUCCACAGUUUGGACCUGGACUAAUUCAACAGGUACUCAUUUAAAGUUUUCAUCCAUUAAUCCAAGCUGUUUGUUUUUCUUUUAAACUUAUUAAUGCUUACAUGCUCUUGGAACCAUUUUGGAAUCAUUAGCAUGGGUUUGGAAGGAACAUGGACUGGUCUGUUGUUGAUUCCGAGAAUGCAGAUGACAGUGCCGCUGUUACUCUUGAGCUCAAGGAUGGUCCCUAUAGUCGAGCCAUGUGGGACUUUGCUUUCCAGGCUCUAUACAAGGUUUGUACAAUGCCUUAAUUUAGUGACACUCUUGUAUGUUAGAUGUCUUAUUUUUUUGACAGUUUGUUUUGCUACUUUAGGUCACUGUUGGCGCCGACUCCCUUUCCACCGAGCUUAAGAUAACAAACACAGACAAUAAACCAUUCUCUUUCACCACUGCCUUGCAUACUUACUUCCGUGUAAGUGUACUAUAUUCGUCUUCUCGUGUUGAAGUGUGUUUCCCAUUAUCUGAUACUACGGCUUGCGAAUUGACUCCCUUUCUCCUUCUUAUAAUUGUUUUUGGAUUCAUCAGGCUUCUUCUGCCAAGGCAUCCGUGAGAGGUCUAAAGGGUUGUAAAACUCUCAAUAAGGAUCCUGACCCUAAAAACCCAAUAGAGGGUAAAGAAGACAGGUUGGUUUGGUGUUUGUUUUCCUUCAUUAGUUACUGAUCUUGUUGAUUUUUAAUUUCACAUUUUCAUGGUUCUAACUCCUUUUUUAACAUUCCAGAGACGAAGUCACUUUUCCUGGAUUUUUGGACUGCGUCUAUCUUGAUGCUCCUAAUGAGUUGCAGUUUGAUAAUGGCUUGGGUGAUAAAAUAAUCAUCAAAAACACAAAGUAUGUUUAUUGAGACACUUAGGGGUUUUAUAGAGGGACUAUGUUAUAACUUCCGUUACAUAAUGAGUCUUGUUUUCGGAAAAUGCAGUUGGUCGGAUGCGGUCUUGUGGAACCCGCAUACUCAGAUGGAGGCUUGUUACAGAGACUUUGUGUGCGUGGAAAAUGCAAAGGUAUAUCAGUUUGCACCUUAGUCUUUGCGCACAACAAUACUUGUAGAAUCUAAUGUUUCUAACUCUUGCUUAUUAUUUUUAAUUCUCAGCUUGGGGAUGUCAAGCUAGAGCCAGGACAGUCUUGGACCGCAACACAGCUUCUCAGCAUUUGUUGAAAACACAAUGUACUUUAAACUUCUGAUAUAUUGUCGAGUGGAUCCAUUUUCUUAAGCAAUAAAAGUUUUCAUUCCUCUCCAAAUUUCACCAGUAGUCACCACAACUGCAUUUACCAUUUCUGAAAUGAUGGAACCUUGUCCUAUCUCUCAUUACGAUAUCUCUCUUGUAUAUCUUAGAGAUAAGUUUUGUUACUCUGUGACAAUCUUUGCAUACUCGGAGAUUCUUCAUUAUACGUAUAACGGUUCCCGGUUUAGUCUUGAGUAACCCGUAUGUUAUAGCCAAUUUUUCGCUGUGCUGAUGCACAAUAGCUUCUCGCUCAUCAACAUCAACUAGAUCAAGCAGCAUAUCCUCUAACUCUGGUACGUACCCGUGUUCCUCAAGUUUCCUUCUCACGAUACUCCAUUUCGAUUGAAUUUUCUUAAUCUCUGGGUGUGAUCGGUCUCCCGCUAAAAACUCGUGUGUGGUCCCUUCGAAGCUAAUUGUACUACAUCCUGGAACUUUCGCAACACCUUGUUCUUUCAUCAAUCUUCUUGUUUCAGCUGCUUUGUCCCACUGUUUGGCCAAAGCAUGAAUAUUUGCUUUAUGAACAUAUCUCCCACCAUGAAAUGGAUCCAUUGCAAUUAAGAUAUCUCCAAUUUCCUCUCCUAGUUCGAUGUUUUUGUGCAUCCGACAGGCUUUGAGCAACGCACCCCAUAUCACAGCAUUUGGCUUCAAAGGCAUGUCUUGAAUGAAACAUUUUGCUUCAUCGAGAAAUCCAGCUCGACCGAGUAAAUCAACAAUACAGCCAUAAUGCUCGAUGGUUGGUUUAAGGUUGUAGUCUCUCUCCAUGCUGUAGAAAAUCAACUUUCCUUCUUCAACUAGUCCUGUGUAGCCGCAGGCCGUGAGAACCGCAGUGAAGGUAAUCACAUUUGGCUUUACUCCCAUCUUUUGCAUCUCCAUGAAUUUGCUAAUUGCUUCUCUUCCAUGGCCAUGGUAUGCAUAGCCGGAAAUCAAAGCUGUCCAUGCUUGCACUGAUUUUAUCUUAAUAUUAUUGAAAACUCCCAAAGCUUCUUCCAUUUCGCCACACUUUGCAUACAUAUCUAUAAGAACACAACCCAAGACUGAAUCAAUUCUGAUUCUUUCUUUAUUAAGAUAGGAAUGAAUCCACUUCCCUUGCUCGAGUGCCCCGAGCUGAGCACAAGCUGAGAGAGCAUUAGCGAGGGAAACAUUAUCAGGCUCAACAUCUGAAUUCUGCAUCUCAUGAAAUAAUUGCAGAGCUUCGUUGUUCAUGCCUGCUUCAACAUACCCAGAGAUCAUCGUAGUCCAUGAUAUAGCAUUCUUUUCUGCCAUUUUCUGGAAUAACGUUAAUGCAAUAUCCAUUUUUCCAGCUUUUACGUAACCUUUGAUCACAGAGUUCCACGAGACAGCAUCGGGUUUGGACAUCCUAUCAAAGAGAAGGUGAGCUAGCUCGAAGUUACCGGUCACAGCAUAUGAAUUGAUAAGAGAAUUCACUGCAUAGACGUCGUUUUCAUAUCCAAGUUUUGUGAUCUGUGCGUGAAUUUGUGUUGUUUCUUGAAAUGCAGAUAGAUUCGAACAAGCUUUGAGAAGAGACGGGAAAGUAUACGCGUUAUGAGGAGCUGAGCAACAGAGCAUUCGAUGAUACAGGAGAAGAGACGUCUUAGGUUCGUCGGAGCACGAGAAUCCUUUGAUCAUGAGGUUCCACAAGAAAGUAUCAGGUCGAUCAAAACCGUCAAACACAAUUUGGGCAUAAGGCAAAAAAUCAGAAGAAGUCGAGGAAACACAGAAAGAAAGAAACUUUGUCACUGCGUAAGAAUGCUGCAUCAAUCCAGUUUUCAGCAUGCGAGCGUGGAUUUGCUUAAGUUCAUCUUGCUUUGAGCAUCUCUGGAGACAAGACAUUGUCUCGUAGAGAUUAUGUUCGAAAGAGAAGGAGGAGCAUGAGAUCAUUGUCAUUUUAGUUCAUUAAAAAACACAGAGAGAGAGAGAGAGAGAGAGCUCUUGAGAGAUAAGGUUCCUCUUUGCUUGAUGAUAUGAUAACUUCUCAAUUCUCAGUAGAGGCCAAAGUAUUUGUUUGCCGUUUUGUAAGAGACUUUAAAAGGAUAAGUGACGUGGAGAUAUAGAGUCACCUGGUUGGUUUAUGCUGUUUUUAUUAGAAGUUACCCAAAAAAUUACCUUAAAUUACCAAAAUCGUUAGCAUUAGCAAAUAGCAAUAGCAUGAACCGGAAAAUAACGGUCGGACCGAAAUCUGAGCCAAAACCAAAGAUGGGGUGAGACGUCAAAGAGACAAAGACAACGACUGCACUCUCUCUUCUUCCUCUGGCUCCGGCGAAAAAACCCUUAUUCGAUUUCAUUGAUAAAAUACCCAAAUUCGAUCUCUCGUGAGGGAAGGAGAAGAAGAUGGGAACAAUGGGUAAAGCAUUUUACAGCGUAGGAUUCUGGAUCCGGGAAACUGGUCAAGCACUCGAUCGGCUCGGUUGUCGCCUCCAAGGCAAAAAUCACUUCCGAGAACAGCGUAAGUCUUUGGACCGUCUUCUCUUCUCUUCUCUUUGUUUCCAUACGAUUCGAUUUCUCGUUUACUUCUCGUCGGGUCUUUGAAAAUGUAUUUGAGUAUUUCUCUGGAUUCGGGUCAUAGUUUAGAUUUGAUAAUAAUAUGACGCGUUUUCUCCUAAUGUUGAUCAUUGAUUAUGGCAUUCUUGAUUAGAGACCUAAGAGCUUAAUAUCGCUAGUGAUGCUAUUCAUGUUACCCAUUUCUUUGUUUUAUAGAUUGGUAAGAGAGAUUCUCGUCAAUUUUCUCUUACAACUUCCUCUUACGUUCUCUGCAUUUGGCUAUUUGUUAUCCUAGAUGUGUUAAGUGUUAGCCUUUCCUAUUGUGAGUGAUACUUAAACUCAAAUUUCUCCAUACCAUCCUACUAAACUGCUUCUGAAACUCUUUUUUUUU
rnacentral:lncRNA from 1 species